UACGAAGGGGGCUAGCGUUGUUCGGAAUUACUGGGCGUAAAGCGCGCGUAGGCGGUUUUGCAAGCCAGAGGUGAAAUGCCUGAGCUUAACUUAGGAAUUGCCUUUGGGACUGCGAGGCUUUGAGGACGGGAGAGGUGAGUGGAAUUCCCAGUGUAGAGGUGAAAUUCGUAGAUAUUGGGAAGAACACCGGUGGCGAAGGCGGCGACCUGGUCCGAUACUGACGCUGAGGCGCGAAAGCGUGGGGAGCAAACAGG
rnacentral:rRNA from 1 species